rnacentral:rRNA from 1 species
AUUUGAAAUCUGGUCCCUAGGGCCCGAGUUGUAAUUUGUAGAGGAUGCUUUUGGUGAGGUGCCGCCCGAGUUCCCUGGAACGGGACGCCACAGAGGGUGAGAGCCCCGUCUGGCUGGCCGCCGAGCCUCUGUAAAGCUCCUUCGACGAGUCGAGUAGUUUGGGAAUGCUGCUCAAAAUGGGAGGUAUAUGUCUUCUAAAGCUAAAUAUUGGCCAGAGACCGAUAGCGCACAAGUAGAGUGAUCGAAAGAUGAAAAGCACCUUGAAAAGAGGGUUAAAUAGUACGUGAAAUUGUUGAAAGGGAAGCGCUUGUGACCAGACUUGGGCGCGGCGGAUCAUCCGGGGUUCUCUCCGGUGCACUUCGCCGCGUCUAGGCCAGCAUCAGUUCGUCGCGGGGGAAAAAGGCUUCGGGAACGUGGCUCCUCCGGGAGUGUUAUAGCCCGUUGCAUAAUACCCUGCGGUGGACUGAGGACCGCGCAUCUGCAAGGAUGCUGGCGUAAUGGUCACCAGCGACCCGUCUU